rnacentral:rRNA from 1 species
UACGGAGGGUGCAAGCGUUAUCCGGAUUCACUGGGUUUAAAGGGUGCGUAGGUGGGCAGUUAAGUCAGUGGUGAAAUCUCCGGGCUUAACCCGGAAACUGCCGUUGAUACUAUCUGUCUUGAAUACUCUGGAGGUGAGCGGAAUAUGUCAUGUAGCGGUGAAAUGCUUAGAUAUGACAUAGAACACCAAUUGCGAAGGCAGCUCGCUACGGGGUCAUUGACACUGAGGCACGAAAGCGUGGGGAU